rnacentral:misc_RNA from 1 species
GGAACUUGCUUUGCAAAAAGUGCUUUUGGUGGGCAGCCAACCAAACCUGAUUAUGACAAUAUACCUUGUGCAGUGUUCUGCAUACCUCCUCUCUCUGUAGUAGGACUCAGUGAACAACAGGCAGUAGAACAAGCUAAGAGUGAUAUUCUUGUUUUCACGUCAACCUUCAAUCCAAUGAAGAACACAAUCUCUGGAAGACAAGAAAAAACAAUGAUGAAGAUUGUUGUUGAUUCGGAAACUGAUAAAGUACUUGGUGCAUCCAUGUGCGGCCCAGACGCAGCUGAGAUUAUGCAGGGUAUCGCAGUUGCUCUUAAGUGCGGAGCUACUAAAGCACAAUUUGAUAGCACGGUGGGGAUCCAUCCAUCGGCAGCUGAAGAGUUCGUGACCAUGCGGACAUUGACAAGGAGUGUCGCUGCGGGUACCAAACCAAAGACAAAUUUAUAAAAUGUUUAUUAUCUUGAAAAGAAAAUAUGAUAUUGAAUUUGAUUGUUGUGCCAGUCUGUCUGCUAUACUAGUCUUAUUUAUAUAUCUCAAAUGUAAUAAUCUUUGAUGCUCAGACAAUGUGGAGAAAUACAGAGUGUUGAAUUAUAUCAAUAAUAAACAGC